CCUACGGGAGGCUGCAGUGGGGAAUAUUGGGCAAUGGGCGCAAGCCUGACCCAGCAACGCCGCGUGAAGGAAGAAGGCUCUCGGGUUGUAAACUUCUUUUGUCAGGGACGAAGCAAGUGACGGUACCUGACGAAUAAGCCACGGCUAACUACGUGCCAGCAGCAGCGGUAAUACGGAGGUGGCAAGCGUUAUCCGGAUUUACUGGGUGUAAAGGGCGUGUAGGCGGGGAAGUAAGUCAGAGGUGAAAACCACGGGCUCAACCUGUGGCCUGCAUUUGAUACUGUUUUUCUUGAGUGCUGGUGAGGCAAUCGGAAUUCCGGGUGUAGCGGUGAAAUGCGUAGAGAUACGGAGGAACACCAGUGGCGAAGGCAGAUUGCUGGACAGUAACUGACGCUGAGGCGCGAAAGCGUGGGGAGCAAACAGGAUUAGAUACCCCUGUAGUC
rnacentral:rRNA from 1 species